GGGCAAUUGGUCUAGGGGUAUGAUUUUCGCUUGGCAUGCGCCUUUGUCACCGGUUCGAAUCCGGUAUUGUCCA
rnacentral:tRNA from 1 species